rnacentral:rRNA from 1 species
UACGUAGGGGGCAAGCGUUGUCCGGAAUCAUUGGGCGUAAAGAGCGUGUAGGCGGCCCGGUAAGUCCGCUGUAAAAGUCAAAGGCUCAACCUUUGAAUGUCAGUGGAUACUGCCGGGCUAGAGUCCGGAAGAGGCGAGUGGAACUCCUGGUGUAGCGGUGGAAUGCGCAGAUAUCAGGAAGAACACCAACGGCGAAGGCAGCUCGGUGGGACGGUACUGACGCUGAGACGCGAAAGCGUGGGGAGCGAACAGG